rnacentral:rRNA from 1 species
GAUGAACGCUAGCGACAGGCUUAACACAUGCAAGUCGAGGGGCAGCGGGGGAGUAGCAAUACUCCCGCCGGCGACCGGCGCACGGGUGAGUAACACGUAUGAAACCUGCCCGUAGCAGGGGGAUAAGCGGAAGAAAUUCCGUCUAAUACCGCGUAACAACCCAUGGAGGCAUCUCCGUGGGUUUAAAGGAAGCGAUUCCGGCUACGGAUGGUCAUGCGUCGCAUUAGCUAGUUGGCGGGGUAACGGCCCACCAAGGCAUCGAUGGAUAGGGGUUCUGAGAGGAAGGUCCCCCACAUUGGAACUGAGACACGGUCCAA